AGAGUUUGAUCCUGGCUCAGGACGAACGCUGGCGGCACGCUUAACACAUGCAAGUCGAACGAGAGAAGAGGAGCUUGCUUUUCUGAUCUAGUGGCGGACGGGUGAGUAACACGUGAGCAAUCUGCCUUUCAGAGGGGGAUACCGAUUGGAAACGAUCGUUAAUACCGCAUAACAUAAUUGAACCGCAUGAUUUGAUUAUCAAAGAUUUAUCGCUGAAAGAUGGGCUCGCGUCUGAUUAUCUAGUUGGUAAGGUAACGGCUUACCAAGGCGACGAUCAGUAGCCGGACUGAGAGGUUGAACGGCCACAUUGGGACUGAGACACGGCCCAGACUCCUACGGGAGGCAGCAGUGGGGAAUAUUGCACAAUGGAGGAAACUCUGAUGCAGCGAUGCCGCGUGAGGGAAGAAGGUUUUAGGAUUGUAAACCUCUGUCUUCAGGGACGAAAAAAGACGGUACCUGAGGAGGAAGCUCCGGCUAACUACGUGCCAGCAGCCGCGGUAAUACGUAGGGAGCGAGCGUUGUCCGGAAUUACUGGGUGUAAAGGGAGCGUAGGCGGGAUCGCAAGUCAGAUGUGAAAACUAUGGGCUUAACCCAUAAACUGCAUUUGAAACUGUGGUUCUUGAGAGAAGUAGAGGUAAGCGGAAUUCCUAGUGUAGCGGUGAAAUGCGUAGAUAUUAGGAGGAACAUCAGUGGCGAAGGCGGCUUACUGGGCUUUAACUGACGCUGAGGCUCGAAAGCGUGGGGAGCAAACAGGAUUAGAUACCCUGGUAGUCCACGCCGUAAACGAUGAUUACUAGGUGGGGGGACUGACCCCUUCCGUGCCGCAGCAAACGCAAUAAGUAAUCCACCUGGGGAGUACGACCGCAAGGUUGAAACUCAAAGGAAUUGACGGGGGCCCGCACAAGCAGUGGAGUAUGUGGAUUAAUUCGAAGCAACGCGAAGAACCUUACCAGGUCUUGACAUCGUAUGCAUAGCUCAGAGAUGAGUGAAAUCUCUUCGGAGACAUAUAGACAGGUGGUGCAUGGUUGUCGUCAGCUCGUGUCGUGAGAUGUUGGGUUAAGUCCCGCAACGAGCGCAACCCUUACUGUUAGUUGCUACGCAAGAGCACUCUAGCAGGACUGCCGUUGACAAAACGGAGGAAGGUGGGGAUGACGUCAAAUCAUCAUGCCCCUUAUGACCUGGGCCUCACACGUACUACAAUGGCUGUCAACAGAGGGAAGCAAAGCCGCGAGGUGGAGCGAACCCCUAAAAGCAGUCUUAGUUCGGAUUGUAGGCUGCAACCCGCCUACAUGAAGUCGGAAUUGCUAGUAAUCGCAGAUCAGCAUGCUGCGGUGAAUACGUUCCCGGGCCUUGUACACACCGCCCGUCACGCCAUGGGAGUCGGUAAUACCCGAAGCCUGUAGUCUAACCGCAAGGAGGAGCAGUCGAAGGUGGGAUUGAUGACUGGGGUGAAGUCGAAACAAGGUA
rnacentral:rRNA from 1 species